UACGUAGGGUGCAAGCGUUGUCCGGAAUUAUUGGGCGUAAAGAGCUCGUAGGCGGUUUGUCGCGUCUGCUGUGAAAACCCGAGGCUCAACCUCGGGCCUGCAGUGGGUACGGGCAGACUAGAGUGCGGUAGGGGAGAUUGGAAUUCCUGGUGUAGCGGUGGAAUGCGCAGAUAUCAGGAGGAACACCGGUGGCGAAGGCGGGUCUCUGGGCCGAUAUUGACGCUGAGGAGCGAAGGCGUGGGGAGCGAACAGG
rnacentral:rRNA from 1 species